UUCUGUGACUGCGUACCUUUUGUAUAAUGGGUCAGCGACUUAUAUUCAGUGGCGAGCUUAACUGAAUAGGGGAGGCGUAGCGAAAGCGAGUCUUAAUAGGGCGUCUAGUCGCUGGGAAUAGACCCGAAACCGGGCGAUCUAUCCAUGGGCAGGUUGAAGGUUGGGUAACACUAACUGGAGGACCGAACCGACUACCGUUGAAAAGUUAGCGGAUGACCUGUGGAUCGGAGUGAAAGGCUAAUCAAGCUCGGAGAUAGCUGGUUCUCCUCGAAAGCUAUUUAGGUAGCGCCUCAUGUAUCACUGUAGGGGGUAGAGCACUGUUUCGGCUAGGGGGUCAUCCCGACUUACCAAACCGAUGCAAACUCCGAAUACCUACAAGUGCCGAGCAUGGGAGAGA
rnacentral:rRNA from 1 species